AGCAGGAAUUCCAGCAGAACAUUGGUCCAAACCCACAUUAACUGGUUCUGGAACAGAAACAAAAGCAGUUUAAUGAUUAUUAAUGAAGGGAGCCAAGAAAACUGAAUGGAAAACAUUGAGACUGUUUUUCUUCCUUUUUAUACAGAUGAUUAUCCUAAAUCUGGUUUGUCUGCAGUUGGAGGAUCUUCAACAGAAGCUGGAGCUGUGAAAGCAGAAGGUAAGAAGUGGAAGAAAAUCACUGGAAGUUACAGAAAGCAUCACUCUGUUCACCGGAGAAAUUAGAGACACAACAACGACAAAUACACAGAUGGAAUCUGUUCUGAUUUCUCCCCAGAGGAGCACUUUGUGGACAAACACAGAAAAGAGCUGAUCCAGAGAGUGAGCAACAUCAAACCCAUUUUAGAUGGACUUUUCCAGGAGAAAGUUCUCCUGGAUGAGGCCUACGACAGAAUAAGAUCUCUAGCCACCUCCCAGGAUCAGAUGAGGGAGAUAUUCCUCUGCAUGAAAGCUGGAGAUGCCUGCAAAAAUAUCUUCCUCUCCAUUCUUCAAGAGAAUGAAAGAUUCCUCAUAUCUGAGCUAAAGGGUUAACGAGUCGACCAGAGCGACCCAGACUAGUUAGUGAUGGUUACCUGCAUUUGGACUGACCUCUUUUAAAGCUAUUCUGGAGGAUUUUUUUCACCCUCUAUACAAAUAAAUACAUUUCUUUAAAUAAAUCAAAAUUAGGCUUAAAAUUAAUAAAAUAAGGACAAAAACAUUUAAUGAAGAGGAAGCAUCAAUUUUCUUCUAUAGGAUAUUAAUAUAUUAUUUUAUUUAAAACAUUAACAGUUUAAGUUAUUGACAAGAAAUAUUGAUCUAAAAACCUAUUUCUGAUUCUUUAAUGUUAUUUUGUUGUGAAAAUU